rnacentral:lncRNA from 1 species
UGUCAGAGACCUCAGGAUAGUGCCUAUAUAAAGGGUAUAUCUUUAAGAUUCCUAGAAAAUAGAGUUUUUGAUGAAAUAAAGUCCUCUCUCUCCCUUCUCCAUGCCUCCUCUCCUCCCUUUCCUUUCUUCCAUGCCCAAGAGUUAGGCGUCUCCUUUUUCACAUGCCAAGAGGUAAUAUUUUGUGACUUCAAGAGUGAAGAUCGAAGAGAAGAAGAAGAAGGCUGCUGAUCAAAGAGUUGAUCUCGCAGUCUAGAUUAAGGUAUUAAUCAAAGUGUUCAAGGCU